ACAUAAUUUUAUGUUACCAAACAAAAAAUUGAUCCUCCACCGGGUUGAGGAUACAUCACUGGGUUGGUGUAUCCUCCAUCAACCCGGUGCGGGUGAUGUGAGACAGAAGACUUUAGCUAAAAUAACAUCACUUUUGGACAAUGUCUCCCCCCUCAUCCAUGAAGCUGCUGCACUGUCAGAUCUUCACCCUAGUGCAAAUCUGCAUGCUUCAACUUGUCCAUCGUGUUUCUGCUGGCACACCUGAACUUCCCCUGUCGAAGGACAAUAAAGGCUUUUUCUAGUGUAUUCUAUUCUGAA